rnacentral:rRNA from 1 species
UACGGAGGGUGCAAGCGUUGUUCGGAUUUACUGGGCGUAAAGCGCGCGCAGGUGGGUGAACAAGUCGGAAGUGAAAUCUUGAGGCUCAACCUCGAGGCUGCUCCCGAAACUGUUCGCCUAGGGACUGGUAGAGGCUGGUAGAAUUCCCGGUGUAGCGGUGGAAUGCGUAGAGAUCGGGAAGAAUACCUGUGGCGAAGGCGGCCAGCUGGGCCAGAUCCGACACUGAGGCGCGAAAGCGUGGGGAGCAAACAGG